rnacentral:rRNA from 1 species
CGUCUUGAAACACGGACCAAGGAGUCUAGCAUGUGCGCGAGUCAUUGGGACAUUUUAUCGACUAAACCCAGAGGCGAAAUGAAAGUGAAAGUCGCGCUUGCGCGGCGCAGGGAAGAUGCGUGCGACGCAUUCGUGUCUCGCACGUCGCAUUCCCGAGGCGUUUCGAGAAAGUCACCGUGCGAUUAUCGAAACGCACUGAGAGCGUACACGCUGGGACCCGAAAGAUGGUGAACUAUGCCUGGUCAGGUCGAAGUCAGGGGAAACCCUGAUGGAGGACCGCAGCGAUUCUGACGUGCAAAUCGAUCGUCGGAACUGGGUAUAGGGGCGAAAGACUAAUCGAACUAUCUAAUAGC